rnacentral:rRNA from 1 species
AAUCAACGCUGGCGGCGUGCCUCAGACAUGCAAGUCGAACGCGAAAGUCCCUUUCGGGGGACAAGUAGAGUGGCGCACGGGUGAGUAACACGUAGGUAAUCUACCUUCGGAUGGGGAAUAACAAUCGGAAACGGUUGCUAAUACCGCAUAAUGCAGCGGCACCUAAUGGUGACAGUUGUUAAAGCGGGGGAUCGAAAGACCUCGCGUCUGAAGAGGAGCCUGCGGCGGAUUAGCUAGUUGGUAAGGUAAUGGCUUACCAAGGCUACGAUCCGUAACCGGCCUGAGAGGGCGGUCGGUCACACUGACACUGACAUACGGGUCAGACUCCUACGGGAGGCAGCAGUCGGGAAUUUUGGGCAAUGGGCGAAAGCCUGACCCAGCAACGCCGCGUGAAGGAUGAAAUCCCUCGGGAUGUAAACUUCGCAAGAACGGGAAGAAUAAGUAGGGGACAAUACCCCCUAUGAUGACGGUACCGUUUGUAAGCUCCGGCUAACUCCGUGCCAGCAGCCGCGGUAAUACGGGGGGAGCAAGCGUUGUUCGGAUUUACUGGGCGUAAAGGGCGCGUAGGCGGCCAGCACAAGUCAGUUGUGAAAUCUCCGAGCUUAACUCGGAAAGGUCAACUGAUACUGUGCGGCUAGAGUGCAGAAGGGGCAACUGGAAUUCUUGGUGUAGCGGUGAAAUGCGUAGAUAUCAAGAGGAACACCUGCGGCGAAGGCGGGUUGCUGGGCUGACACUGACGCUGAGGCGCGAAAGCUAGGGGAGCGAACGGGAUUAGAUACCCUGGUAGUCCACACUGUAAACGAUGGGCACUAGAUGUUGGACCGCAAGGUUCAGUGUCGUAGCUAACGCAUUAAGUGCCCC